rnacentral:tRNA from 1 species
UCCUGGUUAGCUCAGUUGGUAGAGCGCUCCACUGGAAAUUGUGAGGUCCCUGGUUCAAUAUCAGGACAAGGCG